AAGGAUCAUUACCGAGUCGAUUCGAGCUCCGGCUCGACUCUCCCACCCUAUGUGUACCUACCUCUGUUGCUUUGGCGGGCCGCGGUCCUCCGCACCGGCUCCCUUCGGGGGCUGGCCAGCGCCCGCCAGAGGACCACAAAACUCCAGUCAGUGAACGUCUCAGUCUGAAAAACAAGUUAAUAAACUAAAACUUUCAACAACGGAUCUCUUGGUUCUGGCAUCGAUGAAGAACGCAGCGAAAUGCGAUAAGUAAUGUGAAUUGCAGAAUUCAGUGAAUCAUCGAAUCUUUGAACGCACAUUGCGCCCCUUGGUAUUCCGAGGGGCAUGCCUGUUCGAGCGUCAUUUCAACCCUCAAGCUCUGCUUGGUAUUGGGCUCCGUCCUCCACGGACGCGCCUCAAAGACCUCGGCGGUGGCGUCUUGCCUCAAGCGUAGUAGAAAACACCUCGCUUUGGAGCGCACGGCGUCGCCCGCCGGACGAACCUUUGAAUUUUUCUCANNNNNNGACCUCGGAUCAGGUAGGGAUACCCGCUGAACUUAA
rnacentral:rRNA from 1 species